UACGUAGGGGGCUAGCGUUGUCCGGAUUUAUUGGGCGUAAAGAGCGUGUAGGCGGCCAUGUAGGUCCGGUGUGAAAACUCGAGGCUUAACCUCGAGAUGUCAUCGGAAACCAUUUGGCUAGAGUCCGGAAGAGGAGAGUGGAAUUCCUGGUGUAGCGGUGAAAUGCGCAGAUAUCAGGAAGAACACCAAUGGCGAAAGCAGCUCUCUGGGACGGUACUGACGCUGAGGUGCGAAAGCGUGGGGAGCAAACAGG
rnacentral:rRNA from 1 species